rnacentral:misc_RNA from 1 species
UUUCCGUAGGUGAACCUGCGGAAGGAUCAUUAUUUAGGGUUUGUUGUUUUGUUUAUGUUUUUUUAUAAUAAACACAAUAAACAACACAUUCACGCUUGUUUUGUUUGACUGAUUAAACGUUUAAUUGAAAAUAAAAAACUUUUAACAAUGGAUCUCUUGGCUCUU